CUUGGUGCAUAUGCAGUAGUUUAUAUUUAAUUGCCAUUCAUGAAGAAGUUAGCCAUGCAAGUCUGACUUUGUGGCGGCUGUUCUUCAAAAUGAAAUGAUUGUAAUCUUAACUCAGUGUGACAGUAGUCAGUGUUGAGUGCUGCUGCUGCAAGCCACGUUUAAACAUUUAAAAUGGCUAACAGUUGAAAACAUUCAUUGGAAAUUUAGGUAAAAUGGAACCAAAAAAGUAAUUCAAUGUAAUAAGUUACAUUCCUUUGAUAAAGUAAUUGCAAUAGUUACACUACUAUGACGUUUGAAAUAGUGUAACUUGUAAUGGGUAACCUAUUUCAUUUCCAAAGGCCAGGGAUUGAACCACCGACGUUCCAAUUGGUGGACGAUCGCUCUACCACUUUCUCACUAUUUGUUUUUCUCUCACUAUGUUACUGACAUUUAGACCAAAUGUUUCAUAAAA